GUUGGAAAGUAGACAUCCAGGGCUUUCCAGCAAUGUAUAAUAGUCCAUACUUUGGCCAAGAAUAGAUGACGUAAACUGGCGUUCAACGCCAGCUUUCUACCCAAAUCUGGCGUCCAGCGCCAGAAAAGGAGCCAAAACCAGAGUUGAAUGCCCAAACUGGCACAAAAGCUGGCGUUCAACUCCAAAAAAGACCUCUACACGUGCAACACU
rnacentral:lncRNA from 1 species